UACGUAGGAUCCAAGCGUUGUCCGGAUUUACUGGGUGUAAAGGGUGCGCAGGCGGACUUGUAAGUCGGUGGUGAAAUCUCACAGCUUAACUGUGAAACUGCCUCCGAUACUGCAAGUCUUGGAUCCAGAAGAGAGUUGUGGAAUUCCGAGUGUAGCAGUGAAAUGUGUAGAUAUUCGGAAGAACACCAGAGGCGAAGGCAGCAACUUGGUCUGGUAUCGA
rnacentral:rRNA from 1 species